AACCUCAUUUAAGGGCUGGCACCUGCAAGGGAAGGAUCUCAACUUGGAUACUGCCUCCUUUAGAGUGUUUGGUGAGCCUUGGUCCUCAGAAAGUGGCAUAUCACAUCAGGUGUAUGGAUGACGUGAACAGAACAGCUUUAACCAAACUACUACUGUGAUAGAUAAGCAAGAAUUGGCUGGAAGAUGAAGGAGGGAGGAAGAGAUAUAAACUCCAUUCGGCCUUUGUGCUAGCCCUAGAGCUGCAUGUGUGAAUAGGAAAGAUUAUUCAUCAAAUGCAGAUAACUUCUGCCACAUGCUUCAAUGCAGUUGUUUAAGAAAACCUGUGAGUGAAGAGAGACAUCUGUUGUACUUCAUCUCUGGUAAAAAUUAAAACAGGAUCUCCAAACUUUUGGCUCUGCAACAAAGGACAAAACUUUUUCAACUGGAAAAGUUCUUCAUCUUUUUGUUAAGCUUUUUGAAUAUGCCUAAUGAUUUGAAUAAGUAAUAUUCGGUUGUUUUUAGCAGUGCUUGGUAAAGUUUUAUGACAAAGUCUAUUUAGGCAAAUAAUAUAUGAAGUCAUGACAAAUGAGAUAUAGAUCCACAAAAAAUCUAUCCUGGUUCCACAAUUAACCAGCAGUGCUUGGCAUUUCUGCUUUCAUUGGAUAUCUUCAAGAAGCUGUAUCUGAGACUGUGUGCCAGUUUCAGUAGCUUUGUAACAAUUUGAAUCAGCUGUGAAUUGAUCUCAUCAUUUCUUCCUGUAUCUCGCCUUUGUGCAUACUCUUGAGGAAAAACUAGGUCAAAUUUUGCUCCUAAAUGGCACCUAUUUAAAAUGAGUAAGAAUUAUGUGCAAUCCACAUGCUAAAUUUGGUUUAUAGUUAUUUAAAUAAGCAGUGUGACAGCUGAACAGAAAUGUUUUCUCAGGUACAUAGGGAAAUCCUAUUUCCUUAGCUUUGUGAAAAAGCAAAAUGUUUUUCUUUUCACCUUGGGUUUCUAAAGAGAAUUCAAAGCAUUUUUUCCCAGAUAGAAAGUAGUUAUUUUUGUAUGGAAAUAUUUGUGAGGUGAAGAAUAACUUCCUACCUGUAUUUACAUUGUAGUCUUCUUCCUACAGCUGCAUACGAGAUGUGUACUCACUUGAGGUGAUACCAAGUUACAUAACAAAUUGUGCAAGCUCAGCUUGUGUGGAAGUGAAUCAGUAGAGCCCAGGUUUCAGAAUUACUGUGCUUAUGUAUUUUUGAAACUUUCAGCUUUGUCAUUUGUGUAUGCGUAUAUUUCAGCACAGGGUUUUUAUGUAUAUAAGAGUUUACAAAGCACACAAAAAGAGAAAUUGAUGCAAUGAGAUAGGACUGCAAGCAUGUGUCUUUGUAAAAGCCUGCUUGCAGGAUCAUCAAAUUUGCUCUAUGUAAGCUUACCUAACUUGAGUCUUUUAUCCUUUGCCAAGUUCUGCACAAGCGUUCUGGACUAUGCUAUUACUGACAACAUAGUCAUAGGAUGCACAUGCUCUGAUCAGCAGAAUACCUGGAUUUUACUCUCUGAUUACGUACAGAUCUGCUGUAUCAACCUAGCAAGCUACUGUACCUUUCUGUAAAUUAUUUUUCUCAGUAUCCAAUUAGUUUUGCAUUCUGCUUUGAACAUAUAUUAAGAUGUUUGGAUGAACACUUUUACAGUGCUAAGCAUUUUUGUUGUUGUAUUGUAACUAAGGCAGCUAGAUCAGGAAAUCCAACAUAUAAAGCACAGAAAUCUAUUAAAGGGCUUUACUC
ensembl:lncRNA